UACAAAUAUCGAGAUUUGUCCACACAAAUAAGCCACAUCUGGACGGACGGACAUGGACGGGGUAUGAAGCACCCCGCCAGCCUGCGUCGGCGGCCCGGCGGACACACAUGGCCAAGACAGUGACCGUCGGACGAUCCGACGGAUGCACGUGGGCGAGACGACACAUUCCGAUGUGUAUACCGGUCGUAACGCGCAGGAUCCGCUCGAGUAUCGACCCUUUUAUUUAUACACAUGUGUGUAUAUCAAUCGGUGUACCCGCUCAAUAUUGCGCACGCCGAACGGUAUAAGUGGGGGUGGCCGUCGAUGGUGAUAAUUUUGGACACUUGUCCGCUGUCCACUCAAUAUUGAAUCAGUCCUAUUUUCUCUACAGCGCAAAACAGACCUCUCCAGAUAUCAUCACUCGACAGUUCAAAAUAUAAAUAUUACAACAUCUCCGUACGAAUAAAUUCUGAAUUCAUCAUCAUUCAACCAUAUCAAGACGGCUACAUCACCCGACUCUACACACACACGACGUCUAAUUAAAAAAUUAACUAUGGAUGUUUUAAAUUCGCUCCAGCGGCAGACGAACGUGUUGAAUCUCUCUAUUGGAGAGCUUACAAAGGACAUCGAAUAUCGUGUACAAUCCAUGAAUAAUGUGGAGACGAAAUUUGGAACGGCUGUGGCAUGCGUCUUACAGG